rnacentral:rRNA from 1 species
UACGUAGGGCGCAAGCGUUGUCCGGAAUUAUUGGGCGUAAAGAGCUCGUAGGCGGUCGUGUCGCGUCGUGGUGAUAACUCGAGGCUCAACCUCGGGCUUGCAUCGGGUACGGGGCGGACUAGAGUGCUGUAGGGGAGACUGGAAUUCCUGGUGUAGCGGUGGAAUGCGUAGAUAUCGGAAGGAACAUCAGUGGCGAAAGCGGCUUCCGUGGUCCAGCACCGACGUUCAGGCACGAAAGCGUGGGGAGCAAACAGGG